rnacentral:rRNA from 1 species
UCGAGAAUCUUCGGCAAUGGGCGAAAGCCUGACGAUGCGACGCCGUGUGAGCGAAGAAGGCCUUCGGGUUGUAAAGCUCUUUCGCCUGUGAACAAGAGAGACAGGAUAACACCCUGUGGAUUUGAGGGUAACAGGUAAAGAAGCACCGGCUAACUCUGUGCCAGCAGCCGCGGUAAUACAGAGGGUGCGAGCGUUAAUCGGAUUUAUUGGGCGUAAAGGGCGCGUAGGCUGAAAGAUAAGUCAGGUGUGAAAUCCCGGGGCUCAACCUCGGAACAGCAUUUGAAACUAUUUUUCUAGAGGAUAGAUGGAGAAAACGGAAUUCCACAAGUAGCGGUGAAAUGCGUAGAUAUGUGGAAGAACACCGGUGGCGAAGGCGGUUUUCUAAUUUAGACCUGACGCUGAGGCGCGAAAGCAUGGGGAUCAAAC